AUUGAACGCUGGCGGCAGGCCUAACACAUGCAAGUCGAACGAGCGGCGGACGGGUGAGUAAUGUCUGGGAAACUGCCUGAUGGAGGGGGAUAACUACUGGAAACGGUAGCUAAUACCGCAUACCAUCAGAUGUGCCCAGAUGGGAUUAGCUAGUAGGUGGGGUAACGGCUCACCUAGGCGCCGAUCCCUAGCUGGUCUGAGAGGAUGACCAGCCAAACUGGACCGGAGACACGGUCCAGACUCCUACGGGAGGCAGCAGUGGGGAAUAUUGCACAAUGGGCGCAAGCCUGUUGCAGCCAUGCCGCGUGUAUGAAGAAGGCCUUCGGGUUGUAAAGUACUUUCAGCGGGGAGGCGUUACCCGCAGAAGAAGCACCGGCUAACUCCGUGCCAGCAGCCGCGGUAAUAC
rnacentral:rRNA from 1 species